rnacentral:lncRNA from 9 species
GGGCGAACCAGGCCACCGUAACACCCCCUCCUUCCCGUUGCAACCUGAGUAUUUUCACCUGGUGGGCACUGCGUGCCCCGAGCGCCCCAGACUUCUUUGGCCAAUAUGUGUGCUUCCCACAGCUUCCAUUCUUUCUGUCCUCUCCCCCCAACAACCCCGCCUCUUCCAGUUAAUAUCAUCCUCGCCGAUUCUUGAGCACUUUCCUUUCCAAGUUUCUUGGGCUUUCCCGGCCACCGUAACCCUUCAAGGUGCUCUGCUUGAAUCACGCCCCUGCUGCGUUAAAGGAACUUUACUGGCCUCCUUACCGAAGACUCGGAGGGCAGAGGCUUUGCUAUUUUCCUACAGCCCCAGGCCCGAACACGUGUUGAGACCCUUGGCCCAAGGAGGAGUUAUAGAGGCCCAGAGAGGACGGAAGACUCAGCGGUUUUUAAAACUUCACCAGUGAAUUGGGUGGAAGUCGGACCUGGGUUCAAACUUUGGUUGUGCUACUGCCCGGCUAAAUGAUCCUUGACAAAUAACCUAUCUCUUUGGGCCUCAUUUUCUUCCUCUUUUACAAACUGGGCAUUAUAAUCAUACCCCCUCUUCCUUCACCCCUUUGCUCCGUGGGGUUAUUGGAAAGACUCAGAUUAAGAAUGUAAAGCACCUGGCCGCUUAGUAAAUAAUAUCACACGCCGUUAACUACGUAUUACCUGGAAAGGAGACCAGAUUUAGCACUGAAAUGUUCUAGUUAUUUAUUUUUCAUUUUACUAGAUAGAUAUAAAUACAUAAACUGUAGAUACACCCUCCUCGACUUUCCUCAAGGUCUCAACUCAAUAGUAUUGUCCCUCCUCGAGGAGUGCCCUCACAGCCCCAGACUGGGUGUGGCCUCGCCUCCCAGUCCUCCCAGAUCCCUGGACUGCCCGCUCCGCCCCUGCCCACUUUGCUUCAUCCCUGACAGCGGCAGGUGUGUCUUGGAACUUCUCUUACAGAUAACAAUGGUAGUGGUAACAAUUCUGUGAAGUUGUAGGGCCGGUCUUCAAGUCUAAAGGUGAAACAAGGAGUUCCCUGGUGGCCAAGUAAGUUAAGGAUCCUGCACUGUCACUGCAGGGACUCAGGUCACUGCUGUGGUGCAGCUUUGAUCCCUGG